rnacentral:rRNA from 1 species
UCCGGUUGAUCCUGCCGGCGGCCACCGCUAUAGGAAUUCGAUUAAGACAUGCGAGUCGAGAGUCGUUAUGGACUCGGCGGACUGCUCAGUAACACGUGGAUAACGUGCCCUUAAGAGGAGGAUAAUCUCGGGAAAUUGAGGAUAAUACUCCAUAGAUCACGGGAUCUGGAAUGACCUGUGGUUCAAAGUUCCGGCGCUUAAGGAUCGGUCUGCGGCCUAUCAGGUAGUAGUGGGUUUAACAUACCUACUAGCCUACGACGGGUAUGGGCCUUGAGAGAGGGAGCCCAGAGUUGGAUUCUGAGACACGAAUCCAGGCCCUACGGGGCGCAGCAGUCGCGAAAACUUCACAAUGGGGGCAACCCCGAUGAGGGAAUUCCUAGUGCUAGCACAAUUGUGUUAGCUUUUCUUCAGCAUAGAACACUGAAGGAAUAAGGGCUGGGUAAGACGGGUGCCAGCCGCCGCGGUAAUACCUGCAGCCCAAGUGGUGGUCGAUUUUAUUGAGUCUAAAACGUUCGUAGCCGGUUCGGUAAAUCUUUGGGUAAAUCGGGGGGCUUAACUUUCCGACUUCCGAGGAGACUGCCGAACUUGGGACUGGGAGAGGCAAGAGGUACUUCUGGGGUAGGGGUAAAAUCCUGUAAUCCUAGAAGGACCACCGGUGGCGAAGGCGUCUUGCUAGAACGGAUCCGACGGUGAGGGACGAAGCCCUAGGUCGCAAACGGGAUUAGAUACCCCGGUAGUCUAGGGUGUAAACGCUGCAGACUUGGUGUUGGGAGGCCCUUCGGGGGCAUUCAGUGCCGGGAGAAGAAGUUGUUAAGUCUGCUACUUGGGGGGAGUACGUCCGCAAGGAUGAAACUUAAAGGAUUUGGCGGGGGGG